AGAGUUUGAUCAUGGCUCAGAGUGAACGCUGGCGGCGUGCCUAAUACAUGCAAGUCGAACGCGAAAGUCCUUCGGGAUGAGUAAAGUGGCGCACGGGUGAGUAAUACAUGAGAACAUGCCCUUAGAUGGGGAAUAACGUUUGGAAACGAACGCUAAUACCGCAUAAUCUCGCGAGAGUAAAGGUGGCGCCGCAAGGGCUACCGUCUAAGGAUUGGCUCAUGUCCCAUUGGCUAGUUGGCGGGGUAAUGGCCCACCAAGGCAACGAUGGCUAGCUGGUCUGAGAGGAUGACCAGCCACACUGGGACUGAGACACGGCCCAGACUCCUACGGGAGGCAGCAGUGGGAAUAUUGCGCAAUGGGCGAAAGCCUGACGCAGCGACGCCGCGUGGGUGAUGAAGGCCUUCGGGUCGUAAAGCCCUGUCGCAGGGGAAGAAUAAGCAUCGGUAUAAUACGCCGGUGCCCUGACGGUACCCUGCAAGAAAGCACCGGCUAACUCCGUG
rnacentral:rRNA from 1 species